GCAGCAAGACCCAGUGUGGACACAAUUAAAACUGACAGCACCUACAGACAGUUAUUGAGCAUCUGCUAUACGCCAGGAACAGUAGUCAAGCAUGCUCCAUCACCAGACAGAUCAGAAGAGGAUCAGAGAAAUAGAAAAAUAAGAACAUAGAGUGGCCCCAAAAACCUGAACCAAAGAAGGUAGAGAAAAGUCUUCCUCGCCAACAGUUCCAAGUAGAGGAAUAGCCCUUGCAAAAGUGUGAGGGUGUGAGGGAGCGG
rnacentral:lncRNA from 1 species